rnacentral:rRNA from 1 species
UUUAACGGCCGCGGUAUCUUGACCGUGCGAAGGUAGCGCAAUCACUUGUUUCUUAAAUGGAGACCUGUAUGAAUGGCAUUACGAGGGCCAAACUGUCUCCUUCCCCCAGUCAAUGAAAUUGAUCUCCCCGUGCAGAAGCUGGGAUAAAAACAUAAGACGAGAAGACCCUUUGGAGCUUGAGACUACAGGCAGACCAUGCUAAUAAAAUCAAAUGAAAGAAAUAAGCAAAUUGGAUUUCUACCUCAAUGUCUUUGGUUGGGGCGACCGCGGGGAAACAAAAAACCCCCAUGUGGACCAGGAAAACUUUCUUCCUACAACUAAGACCAACAGGUCUAAGUACCAGAAUUUCUGACCAAAAAGAUCCGGCAAAGCCGAUCAACGGACCGAGUUACCCUAGGGAUAACAGCGCAAUCCCCUUUUAGAGCCCAUAUCGACAAGGGGGUUUACGACCUCGAUGUUGGAUCAGGACAUCCUAAUGGUGCAGCCGCUAUUAAGGGUUCGUUUGUUCAACGAUUAAAGUCCU